GAUGAACGCUGGCGGCGUGCCUAAUACAUGCAAGUCGAGCGAACAGACGAGGAGCUUGCUCCUCUGACGUUAGCGGCGGACGGGUGAGUAACACGUGGAUAACCUACCUAUAAGACUGGGAUAACUUCGGGAAACCGGAGCUAAUACCGGAUAAUAUAUUGAACCGCAUGGUUCAAUAGUUAAAGACGGUUUUGCUGUCACUUAUAGAUGGAUCCGCGCCGCAUUAGCUAGUUGGUAAGGUAACGGCUUACCAAGGCAACGAUGCGUAGCCGACCUGAGAGGGUGAUCGGCCACACUGGAACUGAGACACGGUCCAGACUCCUAAGGGAGGCAGAAGUAGGGAAUCUUCCGCAAUGGGCGAAAGCCUGACGGAGCAACGCCGCGUGAGUGAUGAAGGUCUUCGGAUCGUAAAACUCUGUUAUUAGGGAAGAACAAAUGUGUAAGUAACUAUGCACGUCUUGACGGUACCUAAUCAGAAAGCCACGGCUAACUACGUG
rnacentral:rRNA from 1 species